rnacentral:rRNA from 1 species
UGGGGAAUAUUGCACAAUGGGCGCAAGCCUGAUGCAGCCAUGCCGCGUGUGUGAAGAAGGCCUUCGGGUUGUAAAGCACUUUCAGCGGGGAGGAAGGCGAUAAGGUUAAUAACCUUGUCGAUUGACGUUACCCGCAGAAGAAGCACCGGCUAACUCCGUGCCAGCAGCCGCGGUAAUACGGAGGGUGCAAGCGUUAAUCGGAAUUACUGGGCGUAAAGCGCACGCAGGCGGUCUGUCAAGUCGGAUGUGAAAUCCCCGGGCUCAACCUGGGAACUGCAUUCGAAACUGGCAGGCUAGAGUCUUGUAGAGGGGGGUAGAAUUCCAGGUGUAGCGGUGAAAUGCGUAGGGAUCUGGAGGAAUACCGGUGGCGAAGGCGGCCCCCUGGACAAAGACUGACGCUCAGGUGCGAAAGCGUGGGGAGCAAACAGG